GAGCCCCCUCACCAUGUGAUGUCCCAAGCUGCCUUGGGACUCUGCAGAGGGUCCCCAUAAGAGGAAGGCCCCGACUAGAUGGAAUCCUUUGUCCCUGGACUUCUCAGCCUCCAGAACUCUUUCCCAUUGAGUGUUUUCAAUGGGAAAUGUCUAACUGCUCUGUGGGUGUACACCACGGCCAGUUGCUAAUUUUGGAACACUUGUGAAUCCUGGGCCCAGAGUCAUGACCAAUACUGGAUUCCCCAGGAUCAACCAUCUGAGCAGAUACCUUGGAAUGUCCCCAGAUUUCAGAGCCUCGGACCAGCAGCAACACACUCUGAAGUAGGUCUCAGAAGACAAAAAGCUGAAAUCAACUCAUGCUUCCUGCUACACAGAAUCCACUGAGAGGAAAAGGAAACUUCACCGAAACUUCAGAAAGCUACAGAAAUGACAUCCAUUUUCACAAUCCCAGAAGGAAAGAUGCAUCUGAAGGGAAUAAAAACAGAGCAAUGGAAGAGUAUUUGUUAAAAUAAAUGGCUUUGACAGGGCA
rnacentral:lncRNA from 1 species